UACUAUGUACUGUGUGGUUCUAGUUUGCCAUUUCAAAAGUAAAAGUAUUCUUUUCGGAAACAUCCUAUAAAUCACUUGCAACAAGUAUAAUUCAACUCUACUAAAAUUGGAGAAGUCGUGCUAAUAACUUGUUACGAAACUUAGCUCAAAGUAAUAAUAUAAAAUAAAAAGAUAGACAACAAUGUAGAGAGAAAGAGAGAAGAGAUUCUUAAUUCUUCCAUAUAUUCAAGUGUGUACAAUGUGAUUCUCAAACCCUCUAUUUAUAGGAUGAUGUAGGUAAUACAAACGGAUGCCAUGAACAUGGUAUUAACUAUUGAGAACAUUGGGGUAGAUCAUGGAGGCGUGGGAAUUGCAUCCAUAAUGGUAAGAAGUAAUGGGAGGUCAAUGGGGAAGAAUAGUGGGUGUUACUCCCUUAGGAGUUAUGGACGUGACCACCAUAAUCAAGUAAUUCAUAACAUCUUCAGUUUAAAAUUAAAAAUAUUAUGGCCAAACAGUAAUUUCG
rnacentral:lncRNA from 1 species